UGAGGUAUAGCUCAGUGGCAGAGCACUUGCCUACCACGUAUGAGGUCCUGGGUUCAGUCCUCAAUACCAAAA
rnacentral:tRNA from 1 species